GGCACCAUCCAACACGCCAGCCUGUGCUGCUCAGACUACAACAGGACAUAACUAACCCUCUUCUGCCUUACGUCGAUGACACCAUUGUCUACCAGGAAAAUUUCUUUAAAUACGACGACCAAUCACCAAGCCUGAACGUAUACGACAUUACCCCUUGUUACACCGGCCAUCAACACAUCAGGAGGUUCCAAGUGGCGUUUCCCAGGCAGAAUCGUUACGACUUUGACCUCGAUCCGGUCAGAUUCACAACCACUGUACAACUUUACUUGCUAUUGACCUGCUUAUCGUUCCUUUACGUAUACAGCAUAUGUUGGUGGAAUUCCAAGAAGAUAUCGGGCUCCUGUACUGCGAGUUUACCCUCUUGGAUCUGCCUCAAGUCCAGGGGGUCAGGUGUGAACACGCUGUCGGCCCGCCAUUAGACCAAGUAGUUGACAGGCUGAAAUACUCUAUGAAUGACCUGGUUGUUAUCCUUACGACCCGAGCACGACACUC